CAAAAGUCAGAGGCAGCCGUGCGCCCGAGACUGAACAGUUCACAGACGCGCCGCCGCCGCAGCGAGUGCGAGGAGAGCGUGAGCGGCGCGUGCACCCGCCACGAGGUACACAGCGUCACUGACAGGACAGUGCAGAGCAGAGCCUGGGAGAGUCUGCCGUCGUCUUACUUAACCAUCAGGAAAAUAGGCUUUACUACUUCUGAAUGUUACGGCGUGUUCUGCAAGCGUCGGCUGCAGCUACACACGCUGUUCAGGCCUCUGCAAGGCAUCGCACGUGACCACGCUCCUGAUAAGUCAUCAGGCACUGCUGAUAAUACCCUGAUACUGGCAGAUAUAAAUGGUUUUUCAAUAAAGGAUCAGCAAGAUAAUGAACAACAGUAUGACACUAAACAGUUAAUAUGGCCUUUCACUGACUCCUCAAACCAUUUGAAGUUCUUGGAUACUUCGGACCUCGGUAAGAUAAAAUUGUAUUGUAUAUAUUUUAUAUAUAUAACC
rnacentral:misc_RNA from 1 species